GGAUGAAGAACGUAGCGAAAUGCGAUAAGUAAUGUGAAUUGCAGAAUUCAGUGAAUCAUCGAAUCUUUGAACGCACAUUGCGCCCGCCAGUAUUCUGGCGGGCAUGCCUGUCUGAGCGUCAUUUCAACCCUCAUGCCCCUAGGGCGUGGUGUUGGGGAUCGGCCAAAGCCCGCGAGGGACGGCCGGCCCCUAAAUCUAGUGGCGGACCCGUCGUGGCCUCCUCUGCGAAGUAGUGAUAUUCCGCAUCGGAGAGCGAUGAGCCCCUGCCGUUAAACCCCCAACUUUCCAAGGUUGACCUCAGAUCAGGUAGGAAUACCCGCUGAACUUAAGCAUAUCAAUAAGCGGAGGA
rnacentral:misc_RNA from 1 species